rnacentral:rRNA from 1 species
UACGUAGGGUGCAAGCGUUAAUCGGAAUUACUGGGCGUAAAGCGUGCGCAGGCGGUUAUGCAAGACAGAUGUGAAAUCCCCGGGCUUAACCUGGGAACCGCAUUUGUGACUGCAUAGCUGGAGUACGGCAGAAGGGGAUGGAAUUCCGCGUGUAGCAGUGAAAUGCGUAGAUAUGCGGAGGAACACCGAUGGCGAAGGCAGUCCCCUGGGCCUGUACUGACGCUCAUGCACGAAAGCGUGGGGAGCAAACAGG